rnacentral:rRNA from 1 species
AUGAACAGGCUCCUCCGCCGGAGCCGCUCUGCCAGCUUCGACGGCCCGACCUCGGAUCCCUUCGCCGCGAUCCCUGUUGCCAUCGCCGCCCCCGCCGCCCCCGCCGCGGCCACCGCUGCACCCACCGCGGCCAUCCCUCCUCCCGCCGCGGUCUCCGCGGCCCGUCUCCCGCCUGACAUCGUCCAGGGCAAGCAAGCCGUCCCCGCGGGCGUCGCCUCUUCCUCGUCCCUGGCGACCCACGGCGCCCCUGCCACCACUCUUCUUCAGACGACCGGCAGUGUCCCCGUCCAGCCACUCCACCUCGGCGGCUCCAGCGGCGGUCUCGUGCCCCGCGUCCCCGCCCCCGCCAUCGGCUCUUCUUCCUCCGACGGCCUCCCAUUGUCCAUCUCCCACCACUUCACCAUGGGCCGGCUCGAGCAUGACUCGGGUAACUACACAAAAUGGCGUCAACUCUUUUACUUUGUAAGCUGCAAGUAUAAUGUGCAGCACCAUCUCGACGUGCCCUCCGCGCCGCUCCGCAAGAGCGCCAUCUGGCGCAACGACGACCUGACGAUGGUCCUGUGGUUCUACGGGGUCAUCACCGACGAUCUCAUGGACGUUGUGGGCUCGCCGGACAGCACCGCCUUCGACAUCUGGACGCAGUUGCACCUUCACUUCCGGGACAACCAGGCGGGCCGCGCCGUCAUCCUCGGCGCCGAGUUCCGGAACCUCGUGCAGGGCGACCUCUCCGUCGCCGAAUAUUGUCGGCGUCUCAAGUCCCUCACCAUCGAGCUCGGGGAAGUCGGCGAGCGCGUCACCGACCAGACGCUGACCCUGCAGCUGAUUCGCGGCCUGAGCCGCAAGUACCACGUCAUGGCGACGCUGCUGCCCAUGCAGUCGCCCUUUCCGUCCUUCGUCCAGGCGCGCUCGCGUCUUCUCAUGGAGGAGAUCACGGCGAACGAGCGUGCUCGCCUGGAUGCCGCCCCGAGCACUCCCCCACCGCCCUCACCAUCACCGACCAUGGCUCUAACGACCGCAGCUCCGAGCGCGUCCCCAACACCACCGCCGACCCGGGCAGGCACUCCGCCGCCGCCCCCAACUCCGACCAAGGCGGCCGUGGCCGCGGACGUGGCCGCGGCCCUCCUGCCGGCGGCUUCACACCGGGCGGGUCUUCCUCGUCUGGGCGCGGCGCGCCACUCCCUCCACCCGGGGCGUACACACGGUACUUCACCCCGUACGACGCCCUCAUCUCGCCACCCUCCCAGGGGCGCGGGCAGUGGGUCGCCCCCAACGCCGCCGGGGUGCUCGGUCCCCGGCCUCCUCCUCCGCAGUAGGCGUACCCGAUGA